GCCGGUCGCUCUGCGGCCAUCUGCUCCAGCCCGUCCCGCCCCUGUAGCUCCACCAGCCGGGGGUCCAGGUCCGUAAUCUGGAUAUCUGGGAUUUUAAAAAAGAAGAAGAAAAAAAGAAAAAAUAAUUAAAGGUCGCCGCUCUCUGAUGGAAAGCUCUGAAUAACAAAGACAUGUUUGAGAGCAGCAGCAGCAGCAACAGCAACAGCAGCAGUAACAGCAGCAGCAGACUGGGCUGAGCGCUGACGUCAAGGAGCCACGACCGUGCCAAGCAGCAUCCAGACUCCAGUCCACACACACACACACACACACGCACACGCACGCGCACGCACACACACACACACACACACACACAAUGACCUGUCACUGGGACCUGUUUAGAAGCAUCCUAAGUCAAAAGUUAGGUUAUCCAGCCGCCACCCAGCGUGCUCUGAUUGACUCACCAAAGAUUGGGAUCAGAAGUCUUAUACGAGCCACCACACCACCGAUACCCUCUUUCGGGGUUGUUUGGACUCCUCGAGUCCCGGUUCUCUGGCCUGUGCCUCCACCCCAGCUGUCUAGAGUCAGGGGGAGGGAUGAGCUGGAACAAUAGGCGCCAUUUGUCCUGCUCAAAGGUGACAGGAAGCAUUGAUUUCAGCCUGCUCCAGGCUUGUAAGCCAUCCCCAAAUUGGCUAAUGUGUGCAUUUCCCUCUAACGGAGAUUGGAAUUUUUUUAAAGUAAUUGUGAUUCACAGCAUUUGCAUCAGGAUGCAGGAGCAAAUGUUUGAUUCCAGGAUUCCAAAAGCCCCAUCAAUUUUUAUCGAGCUGUUAAUUACAAUAAGGCCCUCUCAUUUUCAGCAUAAGUGAUUGUUGCAAGGUGCAACAUACACCGUUUGAGUCUGGAUUAGAGCCCCCAUAUGAAGGGAUUGUAGUCGGCAAACAGACAAAAACGUACGUUAUAUCCAAACCACUGACGAUUAGGUUUAAUUAAAGCCUGCAUAGCCAGCCAGUUACUUUAAAGCCUGCAGCUGCUGGUGUGCACAAGAGGCAAAUUAAAAGAGAGGAAAGCUUUUACAUACAAUAUAUUAUCAUACAUUAGUUGAGUUCUAAUAAUUCAAUUGCACUUUUCUGUGGCAAUAUCCUAUUUUAAAUGUUACUGUUGUAUUCAUGUACAAAUGACAGCAUGAUUUAAAAGAUCCAGCAGUUUAGAUCUACUGUAUAUUUAAUACCUUGCCGUUAAUUUUAAAUGCAUUGAGGCUCGACGUUUUGGUGCUAAUUCCUUAAAUUGUCGCCUAUUAAACAGCUUAAAAUAGCUCUCGAUCGGCAAUUUGUCUCCGGCCACUUCAGCCUGUCACACUUAACUGGACGAUCUACUCUUGUGAUGAAUUUUCAUGAAUGGUUAAAUAUUUGAAUCGCACGGAAAGAGUUUUUUCUCGUCUUCCUGGGCUGAAUUUCAAAGGUUGAAAUUCAGCGUCAGCAUCGUCACACCACAUGAGGAGGACAGACAAAAUCUUCCCUGUAUCUCCACUGGGAUGUUUUUUAAAUGGAUCAACCUGUCCGACCUGUGAUCACAGCAUUGCCACCCCUUCUCUCCCUCUGUCUCGAUGACGUGACGUCGGUCUCGAAGACGAUGUACGCCAGCGCAGGACGGACUCACUGAUCCAAAUAUAGAGGAGAACUUUCCUUAUCACAACUGGGUCAAGGAGACCGAGUCAAAACAGUCUGUCAGUGAAAUUCUUUGCGGGUGACAUGCAGAGGGACGUUCGGCAGCGCAGCCCUCGGCAGGCUCCGAGAGCAGAAUCAGAGUUACCCAACAUGCAUUACUGGCAGGGGCGUGCUGGUCUAUCGCGUAUAAUGAUGAACCUACACCCAAACUCCUCAGCUCUACUUAAACUAACUGUUUAGGUGUGUUUUAUCUAUCAUCUAUCUUUCUAUCUAUCUAUCUAUCUAUCCAUCUAUCUGUAUGGGUGGUUUUGGCCCGUGAGGUCGAGCGGGUCGUCCUCUAACCUGAAGGUCAGUGGUUCCAAGCUCUCUGCGUGCUGAAGGGGUCCUUGGGAGAAGUGCUUUGAGUGGUUGAUAACACUAGAAAAGCACAAUAUGAAUAUAAUUCGUAGUCCAUUUAAACUAACUGCUCACCAGCAAACUACCGACAAGCAUGGGGGAGAGGAAAACAGAGCUAACGGGAAAGUGAAUAUUGGACACCUGUCCAUGUUUCUCCGUGUCUGUUGGAUGUGCAAGUAGGGAAAUGUUUGCUGACACGUUGGUGAUAAACAAAAGGUGGUAAAUUACAUUUUGUUGCACUGACCCCGGCCCUAAAAAAAAAAAUUCAGUGAAUCAAAGUUGAAGGGGAUGUAUCAGUGUUCAUAACAUCACAACACUGCUGUUUCUGAUUUUCAACGCACAAAAAGCGACUGAUUCAGUAAGUGACACUGAUCAUUCAGAAAAUUCUGUUCAGCUUCAGGUUUCGGCGUUAAAAGUUUAUAUGUUCACGUACUGAACACAUCCAACAGGCAACUCUCUAAUCCUCCAAAAGACAGCCAGUGCCAAAUGCAGUGACUGUCGUCGAUGUCUAGUUCAGGUUGUCCGUCCUCUAUUAGCUUGUUUUUUUAUUUUCGGGGUGCUGAGGCCAAAUGCAAAUGUGCGCACUGUGGACGAUAAAAAACAAUAUACAAACACAA